GACGAACGCUGGCGGCGUGCUUAACACAUGCAAGUCGAACGGAAAGACCCUGCUUUUGUGGGGUGCUCGAGUGGCGAACGGGUGAGUAACACGUGAGUAACCUGCCCUUGACUUUGGGAUAACUUCAGGAAACUGGGGCUAAUACCGGAUAGGAGCUCCUGCUGCAUGGUGGGGGUUGGAAAGUUUCGGCGGUUGGGGAUGGACUCGCGGCUUAUCAGCUUGUUGGUGGGGUAGUGGCUUACCAAGGCUUUGACGGGUAGCCGGCCUGAGAGGGUGACCGGCCACAUUGGGACUGGGAUACGGCCCAGACUCCUACGGGAGGCAGCAGUGGGGAAUAUUGCACAAUGGGCGGAAGCCUGAUGCAGCAACGCCGCGUGCGGGAUGACGGCCUUCGGGUUGUAAACCGCUUUCGCCUGUGACGAAGCGUGAGUGACGGUUAUGGGUAAAGAAGCACCGGCUAAAUACGUGC
rnacentral:rRNA from 1 species